rnacentral:tRNA from 1 species
GGUUCUAUAGUGUAACUUAGCACAUCUGCUUUACACAUAGAAGGUCCUGGGUUCGCGCCCCAGUGGAGCCA